UACAGAGGGUGCGAGCGUUGUUCGGAAUUAUUGGGCGUAAAGCGCUUGUAGGCGGCCUGUCAAGUCGCGUGUGAAAUCCCCUGGCUUAACCAGGGAAGUGCGCGCGAAACUGAAGGGCUUGAGUGCCGGAGAGGGUCGCGGAAUUCCCGGUGUAGAGGUGAAAUUCGUAGAUAUCGGGAGGAACACCAGUGGCGAAGGCGGCGACCUGGACGGACACUGACGCU
rnacentral:rRNA from 1 species